rnacentral:misc_RNA from 1 species
CCAAUUGUUGAGCCAGAAAUCUUGCUUGAUGGUGAGCAUGGCAUUGACAGGACUUUUGAAGUAGCACUGAAGGUGUGGGCUGAGGUUUUCUACUACUUGGCAGAGAACAAUGUCCUGUUUGAGGGCAUUCUUCUCAAGCCUAGCAUGGUCACUCCUGGAGCUGAAUGCGAGGACAAGGCCACCCCUCAGCAGGUUUCAGACUACACCCUGAAGCUCCUCAAGAGGAGAAUCCCCCCAGCAAUUCCCGGAAUCAUGUUUUUGUCUGGUGGGCAAUCUGAGGUUGAAGCAACCCUGAACCUGAACGCCAUGAACCAAGGUCCAAACCCAUGGCAUGUGUCCUUCUCAUAUGC